rnacentral:lncRNA from 10 species
UGGGGCUGGAAACAGCACUGGGAGGGGCUGAGCAGAAGCCACAGCGGGGCAGAACAAAGGCCUGGAGACUGGAGCGAGCUGCGUUCUUGGGGGUGGGGGGUGGGGCGGCAGCUGGAGAGUGGGGGCUUCCCCAGCGGGAGAGGGAGGACGAUUCUGGAUGGCUUCCCUCCUUGUGGACAGAGUGAGUCUCUGCUAUGAGAAAGUAGAGACGGGGUUUCACCGUCUUAGCCAGGAUGGUCUCGAUCUCCUGACCUCGUGAUCCGCCCGCCUCGGCCUCCCAAAGUGCUAGGACUAACAGGCGUGAGCCACCGCACCCGGCCAAGCUGGAUCUUAAGCUUGCUUACCGGUGACUUGUUGACCUCAUCUUGGCUCAAAGAAGACACGGCCCCAGGUGAGUGCCUGGAGGUUAUUUCCCAUGUGAUGCCUGUUCCAGGGCAGGAAUGUUAGCUCUGUGCUGGCCACCAGAGAAGAAACUGGUGGCCUGGUGACCGCCAGGCCUCUGCCUGCAAGGCUAAAGACCUCUGACAGAUAUUAGGGGGCAGGAUGUGAGUUCAGAUGGAAGCAGUCGGAUCUUCCUGACCCUGCCUUACCUGGCAGUAUCCACCUGCAGCCUCUGCACCUCCUGCCCAGCUGCCAACAACACCUGUGAGCCUGACGGCGUGCCCCACCCCCUCCCCAGGUGGGCGGUCUACGGCAGGCCCCGCCCACCAGCUCUGGCGCAUGCGGCAUGGCCUCAGCGUCUCCCUUCCUGAGCGGACGGCCCACCCCGGAAUUAGCCUCUUCUCUCCCAGUUGGCUCCUAGACCCGUGUUGGAGCCACACUGCCCGGGACAGCCCUGAAGCAGCCACGUCCCCACCUUUCAGGAGUCGGCCAAGAGCACGGUGGCUGCAGAAGGCCCUGGCUGAUGGAGAUAACAUUUGACAAACAGGUGCUUUUCCAAUUAUGGAUAACAACAGAAAAGCAGUCAUUGGUUUCUAAAAGGUCAUCAAGAUAUAAAGCCCGUUUGGGAAGGGAAUGACUUACGCAGUGGGCUUGUAUAAAUCUGGAGAAGUUUUAUGCACAAGUCGGACAAGAAAUGUGUUCUACAUACGGCUCGGGAGCCAGCAAGUGCGUAUGAAGCCCCUUCACAUGGCUAGUGGCAUCCUAAGGACCCGGCGACAAUUAGUCAUGGCGUCAUCGAACACCAGGCUGGAGGAGGUCUUGGAUGCCACAGCUCCUUUUGAAUUUCAAAGACGUUCAAAUCCCCAUCUGGCUGUUACACUUUUAGGCUAUUGAGAGUGAAAACAAGCACUGACAUGAACACCCAACCAGCUGCCGGUGACAUCGUCCCCUUCUGAGAUCUGAGGACAUGGAUACCCAACCACCUGCCGGUGACAUCGUCUCCUUCUGAGAUCUGAGGACAUGAACACCCAACCACCUGCCGGUGAUAUCGUCCCCUUCUGAGAUCUGAGGACGUGGAUAUCCAACCACCUGCCGGUGACAUUGUCUCCUUCUGAGAUCUGAGGACAUGGACACCAAACCACCUGCCGGUGACAUUGUCUCCUUCUGAGAUCUGAGGACAUGAACACCAAACCACCUGCCAGUGACAUCGUCCCCUUCUGAGAUCUGAGGACAUGGAUACCCAACCACCUGCCGGUGACAUCGUCUCCUUCUGAGAUCUGAGGACAUGGACACCCAACCACCUGCCGGUGACAUCGUCUCCUUCUGAGAUCUGAGGACAUGAACACCCAACCACCUGCCGGUGAUAUCGUCCCCUUCUGAGAUCUGAGGACGUGGAUAUCCAACCACCUGCCGGUGACAUUGUCUCCUUCUGAGAUCUGAGGACAUGGACACCAAACCACCUGCCGGUGACAUUGUCUCCUUCUGAGAUCUGAGGACAUGAACACCAAACCACCUGCCAGUGACAUCGUCCCCUUCUGAGAUCUGAGGACAUGGAUACCCAACCACCUGCCGGUGACAUCAUCUUCUUCUGAGAUCUGAGGACAUGGACACCCAACCACCUGCCGGUGACAUCGUCUCCUUCUGAGAUCUGAGGACAUGGACACCAAACCACCUGCCGGUGACAUCGUCUCCUUCUGAGAUCUGAGGACAUGAACACCCAACCACCUGCCGGUGAUAUCGUCCCCUUCUGAGAUCUGAGGACGUGGAUAUCCAACCACCUGCCGGUGACAUUGUCUCCUUCUGAGAUCUGAGGACAUGGACACCAAACCACCUGCUGGUGACAUUGUCUCCUUCUGAGAUCUGAGGACAUGAACACCAAACCACCUGCCAGUGACAUCGUCCCCUUCUGAGAUCUGAGGACAUGGAUACCCAACCACCUGCCGGUGACAUCAUCUUCUUCUGAGAUCUGAGGACAUGGACACCCAACCACCUGCCGGUGACAUCGUCUCCUUCUGAGAUCUGAGGACAUGGACACCAAACCACCUGCCGGUGACAUCGUCUCCUUCUGAGAUCUGAGGACAUGAACACCCAACCACCUGCCGGUGACAUCGUCCCCUUCUGAGAUCUGAGGACAUUGAUACCCAGCCACCUGCCGGUGACAUCGUCUCCUUCUGAGAUCUGAGGAUAUGGACACCAAACCACCUGCCGGUGACAUCGUCUCCUUCUGAGAUCUGAGGACAUGAACACCCAACCACCUGCCGGUGACAUCGUCCCCUUCUGAGAUCUGAGGACAUGGAUACCCAACCACCUGCCGGUGACAUCGUCUCCUUCUGAGAUCUGAGGACAUGGACACCCAACCUGCUGCUGGUGACAUCGUUCCCUUCUGAGAUCUGAGGACAUGGACACCAAACCACCUGCCAGUGACAUCGUCUCCUUCUGAGAUCUGAGGACAUGGACACCAAACCUGCUGCCGGUGACAUCGUCCCCUUCUGAGAUCUGAGGACAUGGACACCCAACCACCUGCCGGUGACAUCGUCUCCUUCUGAGGUCUGAGGACAGACACUCACAUGGACACCUAAACACCUGCCGAUGAUAUUGUCUCCUUCUGAAAUCUGAGGACAUGGACACCCAACCAGCUGCUGGUGACAUCAUCUCCUUCUGAGAUCUGAGGACAGACACUCACAUAGACGCCCAAUCAGCUGCUGGUGACAUUGUCUCCUUCUGAAAUCUGAGGGUUGGAACACAUUGGCCUGGCUCAGUGUUUCUCCAUGUGGUUUUGAGACCACCUGAGUUGGAACCGAUAUGGGUUCCCAGCCUCACGCCUGGAGAGCUGGAUUUUGCGAGUGUGAGGUUAGGUCCAGCAUCUGCAUGUGUAACGAGCUCCCAGGUGUUUCGUAGAUGCAUUAGGGCUUGAGAAGCUCCUUUCUAGCACCAUCUUCCUUUUUGCGCAUGAGGGAGUUCAGGUCCAGAGAAAUAAAGCAGCAAGGUUAGUGGCACAGCUGGCGCCCCCUGCUUUCUAGGAAUUUAGAAUAUUAUUGAAGAGAGAGGUAUUAGAACCUGUGAAGUCAAUACAGAGACCUCCAGGCGAGUGGCAUCCUCACUGAAACCACUGACAAGUAUGCUGAAUAGAAAGUGUCAUUUCUCCUGGAAGACCCUCAGUGACCCAGCUGGAGGGUCUCUCCUACUCAUCAGCUGUCCCUCACUCUGCCAUUUCAG